GUGCGGGCUAGCCUGGGGGGUUCGGCGUCCCCUGUAACCCGAAACCGUCGGCAUGCGGGAGGCGAAGCCUGAGGGCGGCUCCGGAUGCUGCGAGUGCAGCUCGGCGCCCGACUGUGAGGCAUCGUCCUGCGGGGUCGCCGUCGGCGUCGUGCAUUCUGGAGGGAAUGUGCGGCGUCAUGACCGCGGGCACCGGUUCAGGCCCGGAAGGGAGCAGACCCACCGCGGGCGGUCGGCGCUCGCAGGGUCGCGGUGCUGAGAAAGGCGCUGAGGGACUGGCUCGUAGCAAAGGAGCCAACCGAUGGCGUGCCCGCAC
rnacentral:SRP_RNA from 1 species